CAACACUUUGGACCAAAAUCCCUGUUCAAGGAAACAAACAGAAAGUGGAACCUAUUCUGUCAUAACUACCCAAGGACUACUAAAAGGAAAAAUUGUGUUACAUUUUUUAAAUUUCCUGUUAAGUUCCCCUUUCAUAAUUUUUAUGUUCUUGUGAGGAAAAAAGUAAAACAUGUUUGAUCUUAUGACAUUGCUUUCAACAAGCAAAUGUUAAAUGUGUUAAGGCUUGACUUGUGUACUAGUGUAAUUUUCCAAGUAAAAGUGUCCCAAAAGGCCACUUUCUAAUUUUUUCCCAGUUAAUGAGGCAAGCAAUUCUAAGAUCUUCUACAAACAUCUAGCCAUCUAAAAUGGAAAGGUGAAUCCCUCUGCCUAUACAAACAAGCUAGCUAUUAGAGGGUGGUUGGGGUAUGUUACUCGUAGGAUAUCAUACAGUCUUCAAACUGAAAUCUCAAAUGUUAUCAGUAUAAAAAAUCUGAGAUCAGAUACUUAUGUAAAGAAAGUGCUAUUCACCCAGUAAACCCAAAACAAAUGGAUAGUGCUGGCCAUAUUUUGUCUUUCUGACAUUUCCUUGGGAAUCUACAAGAACCUCUCCCUCCCCCCACCCCCAAUAAGAUCAUUUAAGUGUGUGUUAAGCAACUACAGAAUACUAAAUAAAAAGUUUUGCCAAAACCAACCAUGAAGCUGCAAACGGUGCUUGCUCUUACUGUUUCAAAUUUUUGCAACUCUGUAGUGUCUCACUUUUAAGGAACAGCUUGAUUGCAAAGGAGAAAAUAGAUAAGCAAUGAAGUUAUCUCCAACUUCUCAAAGGCUUAUGACUUCUAAAAAGUGAAUCUAUCAGCAUUCCACAUCAGAUUUAAAGCAUCAAAUGCCUGUGAAACAGCAAAGAUGGUUGAGGAUUAUGGUCACGGAAUGCUGAUUUAUUCACACUAGAUAAAGCUGACUAAAGCUGGCAGCAAGAGAAAUCAAACGCUAAGAGUUGUUGAAGCAGAAGAAUGCAGAAUGUGCAUAAGGCACAACAGUUGCAUAAGCAGUGCUCAUCAGAAUUGGUUUGGUGCAAGCAAUAGAUUUUUGCCUUCAAGGGUUCCUGUUGGACAAAGGCAUCAGUGUUGGUUAGCACUCUUAACUAGGGAGUGGUAGAUAAAUAAUAAUUGACAGAUGGAGAAAGGAGCAAUUAAGGAAAUUGGUAAGUGGAGGUAGUGAGCGCUCAUGGUUCUUUAUGUAGAUUUUACAGCUUUGGCUUUCAUUGUUUAGCUAAAGUCAUUAGGAACAACUUUAAUUUAGAACUUCCUAAUUAUCAAUGUCAGAAAGUUAAUUAGAAAAAAUGAAAGACAUAAGCGGUAGCUCUUACUGAUUUUCAGCAAGUGAAACAUUGCUGUUUAUUAUCCAGAACUGGGACUAAGUCAUAAAACAACUAAAGGGAAGAGUAGUAUCUGGAAACUAAAGUAACUGGAAACAUGGCUGAAAUGAUUGAAAGCACAUUUAAAAAUUGGAAACAAAAUUGGGCCACUUGGCUUUUUAAACUGUAUUUUUGUUAGUCCAUGUUACCCCCACCUCCUAUCUUGGAAACAAAUCCAAAUCCAAAUACAGCUUCAUUAUGUUGGAGACUCCAGAGCCAAUAGUAUAAAAGCUACUGUUGUCAAAGGAAACAGAGUUGAGUUGUUGGGUUAGAGAAAUCAACUCAAGAUUUUUUUGCAUAAUAAAAUAGCAGUACUAUCAUGUCCAACAUUUGUGAUUGUGGGAAAUAAUAAAAAAGAUGUAACCCUCAUUUGACAGGCUCUUAAUCACAGACCAUGAGGGUAUUGGCCAAAUUUUAAAUGGCUGUUGCACUUAUAUAUAGCUGUCUUCCUCAAUUCUAUAAUCUUAAAUUACUUGGGCUUAUGCUUUUGAGUCCUGAGAUUUUAUUUAGAUAUCUUGAAGAUAGUGUAGGACAUUGAGCUUAAUUAUAGUAAAUAUCAAUACUAAAUUCAAAUUAGGAAGUAUGCUUAAAUGACCAGGACAGCCAUUUGGCAAGUAGUUUACUGACCCAGCAGACUUAAUUCUGCUCUCAUUGGAAAAGAAUUGGUCUUGAUAUUUCUGGCUUUAUACUGGCUGUAAAACAAAAACAAAACCAACCAGAAUGAUAGUGUUUUCCUUGUUUAUCUGAAUAUAGAACAUAGGUAUUAUAGAUCACUUUUCUCUUUUUGGAAUGUUUUGUAUUUGAAACUUAAUAAAACUUAAUAUUCAU